CACAAAAGGAGGGAGUGGAGGAGAAGCUCAACUUCCUCCACCUUCCCGAGCAGUGGGAAAGGCUGGGGAGCUUGUAGGCGAGAUUGGGGGCGCCCACUGCCUGUCCCCACCAAUCCACCCCUCUGGCUCAUUCUCUCUUGGUCUGUCUGUUGGUUGUAGUGUUGGAGGUUUGGCGCGACUCUGUGCCCCCCACGGGAAGGAAGCACUCCCCCACAUUAAAAAGAGCGGAGAGGAAAGUGGUUAGUCGCCGGCCGGGAGGCGAACAGAGAUGCCCAGCUGCACCGCGUCCACCAUG
rnacentral:other from 1 species